rnacentral:snoRNA from 1 species
UCAGACUGAAAAUGAUCUCAGGUUUAAUGGUGACCUGUGGUCAGAUAACUGAGCCUAAAGUACUGUGGUACGUUUAGCUUAUCACCUUCUUACCUAGUUGCAGAGUGAUAAAACCCAUGUGCCAACAAAA